UACGGGGGGGGCAAGCGUUGUUCGGAAUUACUGGGCGUAAAGAGCUUGUAGGCAGUCUGUCGCGUCUGCUGUGAAAAUCCGGGGCUCAACCCCGGACUUGCAGUGGGUACGGGCAGACUAGAGUGUGGUAGGGGAGACUGGAAUUCCUGGUGUAGCGGUGAAAUGCGCAGAUAUCAGGAGGAACACCGAUGGCGAAGGCAGGUCUCUGGGCCACUACUGACGCUGAGAAGCGAAAGCAUGGGGAGCGAACAGG
rnacentral:rRNA from 1 species